UACGUAGGGUCCGAGCGUUGUCCGGAAUUAUUGGGCGUAAAGAGCUCGUAGGCGGUUUGUCGCGUCUGCUGUGAAAUCCCGAGGCUCAACCUCGGGCCUGCAGUGGGUACGGGCAGACUUGAGUGGUGUAGGGGAGACUGGAAUUCCUGGUGUAGCGGUGGAAUGCGCAGAUAUCAGGAGGAACACCGGUGGCGAAGGCGGGUCGCUGGCCCGAUACUGACGCUGAGGUGCGAAAGCGUGGGGAGCAAACAGG
rnacentral:rRNA from 1 species